rnacentral:lncRNA from 1 species
CCAGGACCAUUACACUGGGGACCGGCUUCUCUGCUCUCCCGUUAUGGGGGUCGGGGGAAUGAUGGGUCAAGAGUCUUCCGAAGAAAGCGAGAAAGGAACAGGCGCCUUCAAAAGCCCACUUGGCGAUGGGUUACAGUAAGAGGUUUCCCCUCCAGAUGCCGCUUCAGAGCCAGGCGAGCCAGGAAGGACCAGCGGGCGAGGUGGAAGUCUGCAUUAUCACGAGGAGCUUGGAAAGGAGGUAACACACUCAAUGCAAAUUUCAAGUAACUCAUCCUGGAGGCAGCUGCCUACUCUGCAGCUGUGGUUCUCCACCACAGAGAGAAGAAAAGGGAGGGAGAUGGAGUGCGCAGGUCUGAGAAGGCUUUCAUUCUGGAGCAUCUGCAGGAGCCUGCACCAUGGCCCAGUAGCACCCCUUUUUCUCCAUGAGCUGCUGGUGGGUUCCCCCCUCCCGGAUAGCGCCUCCUUCCAGAAAGAGGAUGUGGUCAGCCUGCUCCACCAGGCUGAGGUGCUGGGUGAUGAGAAGCACUGAGCGGGAGUACCGCUCAGGGCUUUCGUACAGGAGCUGCUCCACCUGAGGAAAGACAUCGGACCGUCAGAGCCGGGGACUACCCUCAGCCCAGGGAGACACCUGUGUUUCCAGGGCUGGGACUGACCUCACAGGAUCACUGCUGGCUCUGCUAACAACCCCAAGGACACCAACGCUUCCCAUUCUGAGUACUUCUCCACAAACCCUUUGUUUCAUUAAGGACUGUUUUACAUGAAGGGUGCAAAAGUAGGAUAAAAAUGAGAACCCUAGGGUGAAACACAUGACAGAAGAAUAAAGACUAUUGAAUAGUCCUCUUCUCUACCCAUGGACUUGGAAUUUUUAUAUUCGAUUUUAAGGAAAUAUAACUUAGUAGUAAAGAGAUGAGCAUUCAAGUCAGGCAGACCUGAAUUUGGGUCAAGGCUGCGCCACUCAAAAGCUAUAUGACCUCUAUAUGAGCAGCUUAUUCAUCC